UGAGUAUUCCCAAACCACCUGGCUGAAUAAGUAAGAGUUCCUUGGUAUUUGUUAUAAGAAAAUUAAUUGAAAUCAGAUAUAAAAUCUUUGAAUUAUACAAGUAAAUAUCUUGACCUAGUAAAUGUUAAUAGUAGACACACCCCACAAUCAGAGUGACUUAAAGAUGUUUAAGUUUAAUUUGGUCACAAUAUUUUUACAAAAGAUUUUGAUCUGCUUUCUCGGAC